AUUGAACGCUGGCGGCAGGCUUAACACAUGCAAGUCGAACGAGUGGCGGUCGGGUGAGUAAUGCUUGGGAAUCUAGCUUAUGGAGGGGGAUAACUACGGGAAACUGUAGCUAAUACCGCGUACCAUAGGAUGAGCCCAAGUGGGAUUAGGUAGUUGGUGAGGUAAAGGCUCACCAAGCCGACGCUCUCUAGCUAGUCUGAGAGGCUGCACAGCCAAACUGGGACUUAAACACGGCCCAGACUCCUACGGGAGGCAACAGUGGGGAAUAUUGCGCAAUGCGGGCAACAUGACGCAGCCAUGCCGCGUGAAUGAAAAAGGCCUUGGGGUUGUAAAGUUCUUUCGGUAGCAAGGCGGUAACUACAGAAGAAGCACCGGCUAACUCCGUGCCAGCAGCCGCGGUAAUAC
rnacentral:rRNA from 1 species